rnacentral:siRNA from 1 species
GGAAUGUUGCCGAUGCCGAUAC